AGUGAACGCUGGCGGUAGGCCUAACACAUGCAAGUCGAACGGCAGCACAGUAAGAGCUUGCUCUUACGGGUGGCGCGUGUCGGACGGGUGAGGUAUACAUCGGAUUCUUCUUUUUCGUGGGGGCUAACGUAGGGAAACUUACUCUAAUACCGCAUACGACCUCCUUGUAAAAGCAGGCGAUCUUCGGACCUUGCGCGAUUGAAUGAGCCUAUGUCGGCUUAGCUAGGUGGCGGGGUAAAGGCCCACCAAGGCGACGCUCGGUAGCUGGUCUGAGAGGAUGAUCAGCCACAUGGGAUGAGAGGCAGGGUCCAGACUCCGGCGGGAGGCAGCAGUGGGGAAUAUUGGACAAUGGGGGAAAGCGUGAUACUGCAAUACCGCGUGGGUGAAGAAGGCGUUAGGGUUGUAAAGUCCUGUUGUUGGGAAAGAAAAGCAGCAGGUUAAUACCCCGCGGUUCUGACGGUACCCAAAGAAUAAGCACCGGCUAACUUCGUG
rnacentral:rRNA from 1 species